rnacentral:lncRNA from 1 species
UUUUAGUGACUAAGACUUUUAGUUAAAAGCAAGGGCUUUUCAAUUUUAGUUAUUUUAGGUUACAUGAAUGAACAAACAGUGUACUCUUUUUUUCCAAAAGUGGACAAAUUUAAAUAUGUAAGAUGAUAUGCUAGACAUUGUUUGUAAAAAAUGAACUAACAAAAUGAAAGAAUACAGGAAGAACUCGCAAGACUCUGAACGUUUACAUCUUUGGGCAAUGUGUCAUUAGAACCAGAAGCUCAGUUUAAACACAUACUUUACCUUCAUUUGAAUUAGUGAAUUGGUCCCCCCUCUCUGUCUUUGUUAAGCCUUCUGAAUUUUUUAAUGAAAUAUUGCAAACUUGUUUAAAGAGUUCAAUUAUUCCAAGAAUUACUUCAAUGCAUUUCUGAUUUUAGUAAGAUGUGUCAUAAUUUCUGUAGAAAGCAGUUAUUCAACCUAAGAGAACUAUAAACCACAGUAUAUAUCAUAAUAGUAAAGAGAUACCAAACAAAUAAAUCUAUGAGCUUGAUAAAGGUGAGGCAUUGUAAUUCUGUUUAUUAUGUUUUUCCCUGUGAAAUGAAUAAAAAUAUCAAAUUUACAUGUCUUUCCAUGAAUAGACUAGGUCUUCUGCAACAUAGAUACACUUCUGAUCCUAAGAUAGGGCUAGAAAAAUGGUGCCAAAUGGGAUAUAAUGCAGGUUCUAAAUUUUGGAAGUUAGCUUACUAGAUCAAUAGUUCACAAAUGCUUCAUUAUGGUGAUAGUGGAGUAGUUCGGGUCCUUCCGAUUAAUAGGAUCUUCAUUGAAUCUGAAGGUUCUGAUUUGUGAUUGUUUCAGUCUAUGGGAUUUAUCUUGUUGAAUCAGUUGUAGCUGUAGAAGAGUAGAAGCAAUGUUCAUGAGCUUGAUAGACAAGCUUGUUAUGUUUCAUAUAAAUGUUCACCAAUUAAUGACAUGGCUACUAUUUCAGUAUUUUUUCAAUUCUGCUGUUGUGGUCAUUUACCACAAGUUUCAACAUCCAAGCACUAUAACUGAAAUUUGCCUUUUGUAAGUAUAACACCGACCUUUGAGUUGGUAUUUCUUGUUUCCAACUUCCCUAUUUGUUUAUUGAGAUUAAGGUAGCAGCAGCGGUUGUGAUUAUUUAUUGCGAUUCCAGUAAUAUCACAUGUGGUACCAAGUUUGAAUUUGACAUGAUAAUUCCGAUUGAAUUAUUUAAGUGAUCAUUUUUUUAGUAAUCUAUUGAUGAUCUUGUUGGAUGUAAUUGAGAAACAAAAUGAAUAUUGGGUAAGCAUUUGAAGUUUCCAUCACCAAAGUUACCAUCCCUUCCAACACCUCUACCUCUGUGCCUCUUGCCACCGUCAUG